rnacentral:rRNA from 1 species
UGCAAGUCGAGCGGUAGAGAGAAGCUUGCUUCUCUUGAGAGCGGCGGACGGGUGAGUAAUGCCUAGGAAUCUGCCUGGUAGUGGGGGAUAACGUUCGGAAACGGACGCUAAUACCGCAUACGUCCUACGGGAGAAAGCAGGGGACCUUCGGGCCUUGCGCUAUCAGAUGAGCCUAGGUCGGAUUAGCUAGUUGGUGAGGUAAUGGCUCACCAAGGCUACGAUCCGUAACUGGUCUGAGAGGAUGAUCAGUCACACUGGAACUGAGACACGGUCCAGACUCCUACGGGAGGCAGCAGUGGGGAAUAUUGGACAAUGGGCGAAAGCCUGAUCCAGCCAUGCCGCGUGUGUGAAGAAGGUCUUCGGAUUGUAAAGCACUUUAAGUUGGGAGGAAGGGCAGUUACCUAAUACGUGAUUGUUUUGACGUUACCGACAGAAUAAGCACCGGCUAACUCUGUGCCAGCAGCCGCGGUAAUACAGAGGGUGCAAGCGUUAAUCGGAAUUACUGGGCGUAAAGCGCGCGUAGGUGGUUAGUUAAGUUGGAUGUGAAAUCCCCGGGCUCAACCUGGGAACUGCAUUCAAAACUGACUGACUAGAGUAUGGUAGAGGGUGGUGGAAUUUCCUGUGUAGCGGUGAAAUGCGUAGAUAUAGGAAGGAACACCAGUGGCGAAGGCGACCACCUGGACUGAUACUGACACUGAGGUGCGAAAGCGUGGGGAGCAAACAGGAUUAGAUACCCUGGUAGUCCACGCCGUAAACGAUGUCAACUAGCCGUUGGGAGCCUUGAGCUCUUAGUGGCGCAGCUAACGCAUUAAGUUGACCGCCUGGGGAGUACGGCCGCAAGGUUAAAACUCAAAUGAAUUGACGGGGGCCCGCACAAGCGGUGGAGCAUGUGGUUUAAUUCGA